rnacentral:rRNA from 1 species
CCUACGGGAGGCAGCAGUGAGGAAUAUUGGUCAAUGGGCGCAAGCCUGAACCAGCCAAGUCGCGUGAGGGAUGACGGUCCUAUGGAUUGUAAACCUCUUUUGUCGGGGAGCAAGGCCCGCCACGUGCGGCGGGAAGGAGAGUACCCGAAGAAAAAGCAUCGGCUAACUCCGUGCCAGCAGCCGCGGUAAUACGGAGGAUGCGAGCGUUAUCCGGAGUUAUUGGGUUUAAGGGGUGCGUAGGCGGAAGGUUAAGUCAGCGGUCAAAUGGCGGUACGAAACACCGGCCAGCCGUUGAAACUGGGGUUCGUGCGUGAGCGAGAGGCAUGCGGAAUGCGUGGUGUAGCGGGGAAAGGCGUAGAGA